CUGGCGAGGAGCUAAGCACGUUCAGAGGGCUGACAAUUAAGUUUCCGCAAUACGUAUACAUUUAUUUAAACGGGAACGUCGGAAUCUCUGGAAACGCAGUUUUAAAAUGUAAACCUAUAGGGGCGUUUGCUUGCUUGCUUGCUUGCUUAAGGCCUGCCUCCGUCUCCGCACAGCGUCGCUUUCAGAGCGCCUGGGAGACGGAUGAUGUAGGUCCUACUUCCCGGGUCCGAACUGGCGCCCAGAUGUUUGAGGGAGUCGAUGCCUCAGGAAGAGAUGGAGUUGGGAGGCCGGCGAAGGAGGCUGAGGACAGUCUAGCUCUGCUGCCUGCCUGCCUACCUUGGACUCCGUAUCCGGGAGCUGGGUGGCCUUCCUUCAAAGGGCAGCGCAGCCCAGAAGGAUUUCUGUCAUCACCCCAGCCACCCUGCAACUCUGGUAAGAGAAUUUGCCUGUGACCUGGGAAUUCUACCUAGAAUUGGAGCUGAACUAUCAGCGGGGAUGAUAAAAUACAUUUUCUGUGCAUUCUUUAAAAGGUUUGGAUUAGCUCUUCCUUCCUCCCUUCCUUCCUUUUAUUUUGUCAUGCCCGCAGCAUGUAGAAGUUCUGGGCCAGGGAUCAAACCCAGGCGGCAGCAGUGACCUGAGCCACUGCAGUGACAAGGCCAGAUCCUUAACCUGCUGCACCAAAAGGGAACUCGGUGGAUUAACUUCAAUGAAGAAAAUCAUCUGCAUCCCAACUGCACAGAGAUUUGGGGUUUUUUACUCCUGUCUCUUUCCUGCAUAUUUUUACCUGUGUCUUAAUUCCCCGGUCACUGAACAGUUGAGUACCUUACCCAGGCCAGACCCCGGUGCCAGACGCUGAAGCAAGCAGGGAAAUGACCUGAAGCCUGCCCUUGAGAGUAUCAAACACACAUAUUGCCCAGGGCCCCGGCCAGGCAGGCCCAGAGCCCAGGAAAGCCUGCAGGAGGAAGAGACCCUCAAAGCCUCCCACAGCCAGAUUGUGUGGUCAAGGGUCCUUCGGGGCUGUGAUGGUCCCUUGCCUUCACAGUGAAAGUGUUUGUGUAAAAAUAACUCCUGGGUUCCUUGCAGGGUUUUUCUGGACAUCUGUGCCACAAUUUCUUUCUGCCUUCCAGGGAUUCCUGGUGAGUGUCAGCUUUGCUAGAAUUUCACUGGUGAGUUGCAGGGACUCGCCAUGAAUAUCUGCCUCCCAAGGUAGAGGUUAGAGAAUAGAGAUGCAGGUACACUCUAAAAGGAAGAAAUAAACUUUAGAAAUCCUGUGCCCUAUCAAAAAAAAGUGGAGAGGGAGUUCCCUUCAUAGCGCAGCGGAAACGAAUCCCGACUAGGAACCAUGAGGUUGCUGGUUUGAUCCCUGGUCUUGCUCAGUGGGUUAAGGAUCCGGUGUUGCUGUAGCUGUGGUGUAGGCUGGCAGCUGUAGCUCCAAAUGGACCCCUAGCCUGGGAACCUCCAUAAGCCGUGGGUGUGGCCGUAAAAAUUAAAAAAAAAAAAGUGGAUAAAUUAAACAUAGGGAGACAGGGAGUUCGGAUUGAGACUGGGAAAAUCGAGGCAAAGCCUAAGGGUCAGCACGAUUGCCCAGGGGUGGAAGGGGGCGUUUGAAGCAGCUUCCUCCUGGUAGACCCCUCAGGGCAGCCCUCAGGGCGGGAAGGGCUGAGCAGGUGGCUUUAGCAGCUACCUCCCCACUCAACCCCAGUCCUCUGGCUCCAAUUAUUUUACAUAUUUAGCUUAUAAAAAUGGUUUUCUUAAUUGUUAUUUUUUUGAAACUGGUUUUAUUUAAACAAGGGAUUCUGGGGCUAAAAGCUUGGAAACACUGACAGAUGCAGCACAGAAAAUUUGGCCGAUCAUGAUACAUUUGAUGAAAAUGUUGUGUCCUGACUCUGAAAGAGAUUCUAAAAUAUAAUACUGUAGACUUGGUUUCUACAGAGAGGGAUGGACACUUCCAAGCAAAAUCCAUUUAAUUUCACAGGGGGAAAGGUGGUUAAAAGUCCUGGCACUGGGUGGUGGGUGAAGUGAAUUUCUCCUGGUACAUUUAUGGAUAAGAUUUGAUGCCUUCUCUUGGAGAAGAGAAGGAAGUGGCUCAUUCAGUUGAGAUAAGGUUUCAUUCUUUGGACCUCAGACAUUCUCCUUGCCAUAAGAAAAACAGCCACAACAACAUCAACGCUAUUUUCAUUUGGGGAAGAAGGAUUUUAAAUUAAAUUCUGAAACUCAGUUACAUGGCAAUAACAUACUAAAAUGUGAGUUAAUCCUUUCU
rnacentral:lncRNA from 1 species